rnacentral:rRNA from 2 species
UUAUGAAGUUAGCGGCGGACGGGUGAGUAACACGUGGGUAACCUGCCCAUAAGACUGGGAUAACUCCGGGAAACCGGGGCUAAUACCGGAUAACAUUUUGAACCGCAUGGUUCGAAAUUGAAAGGCGGCUUCGGCUGUCACUUAUGGAUGGACCCGCGUCGCAUUAGCUAGUUGGUGAGGUAACGGCUCACCAAGGCAACGAUGCGUAGCCGACCUGAGAGGGUGAUCGGCCACACUGGGACUGAGACACGGCCCAGACUCCUACGGGAGGCAGCAGUAGGGAAUCUUCCGCAAUGGACGAAAGUCUGACGGAGCAACGCCGCGUGAGUGAUGAAGGCUUUCGGGUCGUAAAACUCUGUUGUUAGGGAAGAACAAGUGCUAGUUGAAUAAGCUGGCACCUUGACGGUACCUAACCAGAAAGCCACGGCUAACUACGUGCCAGCAGCCGCGGUAAUACGUAGGUGGCAAGCGUUAUCCGGAAUUAUUGGGCGUAAAGCGCGCGCAGGUGGUUUCUUAAGUCUGAUGUGAAAGCCCACGGCUCAACCGUGGAGGGUCAUUGGAAACUGGGAGACUUGAGUGCAGAAGAGGAAAGUGGAAUUCCAUGUGUAGCGGUGAAAUGC